CCCCUGACCUCCUCUUGCCUCCCUAAAUAAAGUAAAAUCUUACUUGUAUUCAAGUCUGCAGAUGCUGGCUCUGCCUUUGAAUUGACAUCAUCAGACGUGGUGGUCUGAGCAAAUUACAAUGCUUCCCCAUAAGAUUGGCUGAGACUGUCAACUAGGCAGAUCAGGGGCAGAGCCAGCACAAGUCAAACAUAGCCCUGGGCAAACAGCAUCUCCUCAUAAAGAUAAAUUGAAUCAAUGCAUCUCUAUGAGGAAAGUUCAGUGUCUGCAUGCAGAGGGUGGAGACACUGAAUGGCAGUGCUGCACACUAGGCAG